GGAGUUGUGGCUCAGCGGAAGAGCGCUCGCCUAGCAUGUGUGAGGCCCUGGGUUUGAUCCUCAGCACCA
rnacentral:tRNA from 1 species